CCUAACGGGAGGCAGCAGUGGGGAAUAUUGGACAAUGGGGGGAACCCUGAUCCAGCCAUGCCGCGUGUGUGAAGAAGGCCCUCGGGUUGUAAAGCACUUUCAGUGAGGAAGAACGCCUGGUGGUUAAUACCCAUCAGGAAAGACAUCACUCACAGAAGAAGCACCGGCUAACUCCGUGCCAGCAGCCGCGGUAAUACGGAGGGUGCGAGCGUUAAUCGGAAUUACUGGGCGUAAAGCGCGCGUAGGUGGCUUGAUAAGCCGGUUGUGAAAGCCCCGGGCUCAACCUGGGAACGGCAUCCGGAACUGUCAAGCUAGAGUGCAGGAGAGGAAGGUAGAAUUCCCGGUGUAGCGGUGAAAUGCGUAGAGAUCGGGAGGAAUACCAGUGGCGAAGGCGGCCUUCUGGACUGACACUGACACUGAGGUGCGAAAGCGUGGGUAGCAAACAGGAUUAGAUACCCGUGUAGUC
rnacentral:rRNA from 1 species